rnacentral:rRNA from 1 species
CGGGAGGCAGCAGUGGGGAAUUUUGGACAAUGGGGGCAACCCUGAUCCAGCAAUGCCGCGUGAGUGAAGAAGGCCUUCGGGUUGUAAAGCUCUUUUGUCAGGGAAGAAACGGUGUUUCCUAAUACGGAAUACUAAUGACGGUACCUGAAGAAUAAGCACCGGCUAACUACGUGCCAGCAGCCGCGGUAAUACGUAGGGUGCAAGCGUUAAUCGGAAUUACUGGGCGUAAAGCGUGCGCAGGCGGUUAUAUAAGUCAGAUGUGAAAUCCCCGGGCUCAACCUGGGAACUGCAUUUGAGACUGUAUGGCUAGAGUGUGUCAGAGGGGGGUAGAAUUCCACGUGUAGCAGUGAAAUGCGUAGAUAUGUGGAGGAAUACCGAUGGCGAAGGCAGCCCCCUGGGAUAACACUGACGCUCAUGCACGAAAGCGUGGGGAGCAAACAGGAUUAGAUACCCCUGU